rnacentral:rRNA from 1 species
AGAGUUUGAUCAUGGCUCAGAUUGAACGCUGGCGGCAGGCCUAACACAUGCAAGUCGAACGGUAACAGGAAACAGCUUGCUGUUUCGCUGACGAGUGGCGGACGGGUGAGUAAUGUCUGGGAAACUGCCUGAUGGAGGGGAUAACUACUGGAAACGGUAGCUAAUACCGCAUAACGUCGCAAGACCAAAGAGGGGGACCCUCGGGCCUCUUGCCAUCGGAUGUGCCCAGAUGGGAUUAGCUUGUUGGUGGGGUAACGGCUCACCAAGGCGACGAUCCCUAGCUGGUCUGAGAGGAUGACCAGCCACACUGGAACUGAGACACGGUCCAGACUCCUACGGGAGGCAGCAGUGGGGAAUAUUGCACAAUGGGCGCAAGCCUGAUGCAGCCAUGCCGCGUGUAUGAAGAAGGCCUUCGGGUUGUAAAGUACUUUCAGCGGGGAGGAAGGGAGUAAAGUUAAUACCUUUGCUCAUUGACGUUACCCGCAGAAGAAGCACCGGCUAACUCCGUGCCAGCAGCCGCGGUAAUACGGAGGGUGCAAGCGUUAAUCGGAAUUACUGGGCGUAAAGCGCACGCAGGCGGUUUGUUAAGUCAGAUGUGAAAUCCCCGGGCUCAACCUGGGAACUGCAUCUGAUACUGGCAAGCUUGAGUCUCGUAGAGGGGGUAGAAUUCCAGGUGUAGCGGUGAAAUGCGUAGAGAUCUGGAGGAAUACCGGUGGCGAAGGCGGCCCCCUGGACGAAGACUGACGCUCAGGUGCGAAAGCGUGGGGAGCAAACAGGAUUAGAUACCCUGGUAGUCCACGCCGUAAACGAUGUCGACUUGGAGGUUGUGCCCUUGAGGCGUGGCUUCCGGAGCUAACGCGUUAAGUCGACCGCCUGGGGAGUACGGCCGCAAGGUUAAAACUCAAAUGAAUUGACGGGGGCCCGCACAAGCGGUGGAGCAUGUGGUUUAAUUCGAUGCAACGCGAAGAACCUUACCUGGUCUUGACAUCCACGGAAGUUUUCAGAGAUGAGAAUGUGCCUUCGGGAACCGUGAGACAGGUGCUGCAUGGCUGUCGUCAGCUCGUGUUGUGAAAUGUUGGGUUAAGUCCCGCAACGAGCGCAACCCUUAUCCUUUGUUGCCAGCGGUCCGGCCGGGAACUCAAAGGAGACUGCCAGUGAUAAACUGGAGGAAGGUGGGGAUGACGUCAAGUCAUCAUGGCCCUUACGACCAGGGCUACACACGUGCUACAAUGGCGCAUACAAAGAGAAGCGACCUCGCGAGAGCAAGCGGACCUCAUAAAGUGCGUCGUAGUCCGGAUUGGAGUCUGCAACUCGACUCCAUGAAGUCGGAAUCGCUAGUAAUCGUGGAUCAGAAUGCCACGGUGAAUACGUUCCCGGGCCUUGUACACACCGCCCGUCACACCAUGGGAGUGGGUUGCAAAAGAAGUAGGUAGCUUAACCUUCGGGAGGGCGCUUACCACUUUGUGAUUCAUGACUGGGGUGAAGUCGUAACAAGGUAACCGUAGGGGAACCUGCGGUUGGAUCACCU